rnacentral:ncRNA from 1 species
CGCCUGUCGGGACCCGAAAGAUGGUGAACUAUGCCUGAGCGGGGCGAAGCCAGAGGAAACUCUGGUGGAGGCUCGAAGCGAUACUGGUGUGCAAAUCGUUCGUCUGACUUGGGUAUAGGGGCGAAAGACUAAUCGAACCAUCUAGUAGCUGGUUCCCUCCGAAGUUUCCCUCAGGAUAGCUGGAGCCCAUUACGAGUUCUAUCAGGUAAAGCCAAUGAUUAGAGGC